AUGGAGCACAUUCGGCAGAUCGUCACCUUGUGGGCUCGGUUGCGAGUCAUUCCUAUAUCGGAGGACACGGAGGACACAAUUACUUGGAAGCACACUCUUGAUGGAGCUUACUAUGCCACUUCUGCGUACAAGGCGCAACUUCUUGGGACGGUUCGUUCGUCCAUGCACUUCGCGGUUUGGAAGGCUUGGGCGCCACCCAAGAUGAAAUUUUUCGCUUGGCUUGCGAUUCAAAACCGUAUCUGGACGGCGGAUAGAUUACAGAAANNNNNNNNNNGAGUCGUCUAUUUUGAAAUAGAGGGAGUAUAUACUUUGGUGGAGUAG
rnacentral:rRNA from 1 species